rnacentral:tRNA from 1 species
GGGGAUGUGGCGGAAUUGGUAGACGCAUCGGACUUAAAAUCCGAAGGCCCUAGGCCGUCCGGGUUCGAUCCCCGGCAUCCCUACCA